rnacentral:rRNA from 1 species
AUUGAACGCUGGCGGCAUGCUUUACACGUGCAAGUCGAACGGUAACAGGCCGCAAGGUGCUGACGAGUGGCGCACGGGUGAGUAAUGCAUCGGAACGUGCCCAGUCGUGGGGGAUAACUACUCGAAAGAGUAGCUAAUACCGCAUACGAUCUAUGGAUGAAAGCGGGGGACCGUAAGGCCUCGCGCGAUUGGAGCGGCCGAUGUCAGAUUAGGUAGUUGGUGGGGUAAAGGCUCACCAAGCCAACGAUCUGUAGCUGGACUGAGAGGACGACCAGCCACACUGGGACUGAGACACGGCCCAGACUCCUACGGGAGGCAGCAGUGGGGAAUUUUGGACAAUGGGCGCAAGCCUGAUCCAGCAAUGCCGCGUGCAGGAAGAAGGCCUUCGGGUUGUAAACUGCUUUUGUACGGAACGAAACGGCUCUGGUUAAUACCCGGGGCUAAUGACGGUACCGUAAGAAUAAGCACCGGCUAACUACGUG